GGAAAGAUGGCAGAGUGGUUGAUUGCAACGAUCUCGAAAAUCGUAAUAGUUUGAAAAGACUAUCAGGGGUUCAAAUCCCCUUCUUUCCG
rnacentral:tRNA from 1 species